AGAAUCAACGCUGGCGGCGUGCCUAACACAUGCAAGUCGAACGAGAAAGUGGAGCAAUCCAUGAGUAAAGUGGCGCACGGGUGAGUAACACGUGACUAACCUACCCUUGAGUGGGGGAUAACCUAGAGAAAUCUGGGCUAAUACCGCAUAAUACCUUCGGGUCAAAGGAGCAAUUCGCUUAAGGAGGGGGUCGCGGCCGAUUAGCUAGUUGGCGGGGUAAUGGCCCACCAAGGCGAUGAUCGGUA
rnacentral:rRNA from 1 species